AUCUCUCCAGUUCUUCUUAGUGCUAUGAGCUUGCCUCUUAGAGCCACCUUUAUAUGUACUACAGUUUGGGUUUCCCUCAAUUGUUGCAGCAUCUUUCCUGGACCCCGAAAGGGCUUGAGGAGCUGAAACCUGAAGGACCCCAAGAAACCACAAAAAGUAAACUCCAAGGUUAGUAAGCUUUCAGUGCUCUGGACUGAGUAACCUAUUUCUCAACUAGAAGAAUGGAAAGAAACGAAAUUCACAAGUAAAUGGAUGAAGCUAGAAAAAAAAUCAUCCUGAGUGAGGUAACCCAGACUGAAAAGAACAAAUACGGUAUGUAUUCUCUUAUACACAGAUGCUAGCUAUUAAGUCCUUAAUAAGCAGGCUACAGUACAAAGAACCACAGUGUUUAAAUACAGUGUAAAGGACUGGGGAGAAGGAAGGAAGGAUCUCCAUAGGAAGGGGAAAUAGAGUCCAGCUAUGGAUG